GGCUGAUUCAAAGGUAGUCAGUUUUCUCAAUGGAUUUUUCAGUCAGUUACAGAUCGAACUCCUUGUCUACUCUUUUCCCCUUUUCACUACUGCACUUGACUAGUCCAAA
ensembl:misc_RNA Y_RNA Y RNA